rnacentral:lncRNA from 1 species
CUAACCUUAGUUCUCUCCCCAGUAACGUUAGCUAGCUCUCUGCUAAUGUUAGCUAGCUCUAGGCUAACCUUAGUUCUCUCCCCAGUAACGUUAGCUAGCUCUCUGCUAAUGUUAGCUAGCUCUAGGCUAACCUUAGUUCUCUCCCCAGUAACGUUAGCUAGCACACAGCUAAUGCUGGCUAGCUCUAGGCUAACCUUAGUUCUCUCCCCAGUAACGUUAGCUAGCUCUCCACUAAUGUUAGCUACCUCUAGGCUAACCUUAGUUCUCUCCCCAGUAACGUUAGCUAGCACUACGUUAAUGUUAGCUAGCUCUAGGCUAACCUGAGUUCUCUCCCCAGUAACGUUAGCUAGCUCUCCACUAAUGUUAGCUACCUCUAGGCUAACCUGAGUUCUCUCCCCAGUAACGUUAGCUAGCUCUCCACUAACGUUAGCUAGCUCUAGGCUAACCUGAGUUCUCUCCCAGUAACAGGCUGCUAAUGUUCGUAUGUGCUUUCUUACCGGCAUUAAACACACCAUCUAAAAAUGUAAUACAAACAGCAAAUUGACAGUAAAUUUAAGACAAUUUAAGACCUUAAUUAUCAAGAUUUUAAUUUAAGACAUUUUAAGGACUUUUUAGGAACCCGCGGGAACCCUGAAUAAGAAUGAACUUUACUACAAUUUAGUGUGCUGCAGCAAAGUUUUAGAUUUUAAUUUAGCUAGCUCACAGCUAAUGGUGGCUAGCUCUAUUCUAACCUAAGUUCUCUCCCCAGUAAAUUUAGCUAGGUCUCCACUAAUGUUAGCUACCUCAAGGCUAACCUUAGUUCUCUCCCCAGUAACGUUAGCUAGCUCUCCACUAACCUUAGUUCUCUCCCAGUAACAGGCUGCUAAUGUUAGUAUGUGCUUUCUUACCGGCAUUAAAAGCACCAUCUAAAAAUGUAAUACAAACAGCAAAUUGACAGUAAAUUUAAGACAAUUUAAGACCUUAAUUAUUAAGAUUUUAAUUUAAGACAUUUUAAGACUUUUUAGGAACCCGCGGGAACCCUGAAUAAGAAUGAACUUUACUACAAUUUAGUGUGCUGCAGCAAAGUUUUAGAUUUUAAUUUAAUUUUUAAAACUUUGUGUCACUGAAAUGUAGACUGGUCGCUAAAAAUAUAUUCACAUUACAAAAUGUGUGCAACAAAUACGAGGCGUGGACAUUUUCACUAAACAUUCUACACCAAUUAAGCAUAACAAUAUGACCAUUAAGACCAAGCAUUACAUUAUGAACAUUAUGAUUCUUUGUCAAAUAAUAGUAAAUGAUGUAAAAUAAAAAUGUGUAAUUCGGCA